CUUGCCUUAUAUAAGAGGUCUAGCCUGCCCAGUGACAUUGUUCAACGGCCGCGGUAUCCUAACCGUGCGAAGGUAGCGUAAUCACUUGUUCUUUAAAUGAGGACUAGUAUGAAAGGCAUCACGAGAGUCAUACUGUCUCCUUUCUCUAAUCAGUGAAACUAAUCUCCCCGUGAAGAAGCGGGGAUAAGAACAUAAGACGAGAAGACCCUAUGGAGCUUUAAACAAAUGAUAUAUACCCCUUUUAACUUCAAAUUUCAGAAAAAUCUCUUACCUUGGUAUAAUAAUUAAUAGUUUUUGGUUGGGGUGACCACGGAACAAAAAACAACUUCCACAAUGAAAGAUUCUCCUCCACUAAGUUAAGGACUACAGCCCUAUACAUCAAUAAAUUGACAUUAAU
rnacentral:rRNA from 1 species